rnacentral:rRNA from 1 species
CCUCCAGACUCCUACGGGAGGCAGCAGUGGGGAAUAUUGCACAAUGGGGGAAACCCUGAUGCAGCGACGCCGCGUGAGUGAAGAAGUAUUUCGGUAUGUAAAGCUCUAUCAGCAGGGAAGAAAAUGACGGUACCUGACUAAGAAGCCCCGGCUAACUACGUGCCAGCAGCCGCGGUAAUACGUAGGGGGCAAGCGUUAUCCGGAUUUACUGGGUGUAAAGGGAGCGUAGACGGCAUGGCAAGUCAGAUGUGAAAGCCCGGGGCUCAACCCCGGGACUGCAUUUGAAACUGUCAGGCUGGAGUGCAGGAGAGGUAAGUGGAAUUCCUAGUGUAGCGGUGAAAUGCGUAGAUAUUAGGAGGAACACCAGUGGCGAAGGCGGCCUGCUGGGCUUUUACUGACGCUGAGGCUCGAAAGUGUGGGGAGCAAACAGGAUUAGAUACCCCAGUAC